rnacentral:rRNA from 1 species
AGCGAACGUUAGCGGCGGGCCUAACACAUGCAAGUCGAGCGAGAAAGUGGCUUCGGCCAUCAGUAAAGCGGCGGACGGGUGAGUAACACGUAGGUAAUCUUCCCUUGAGCGGGGGACAACGUUUCGAAAGGAACGCUAAUACCGCAUACGUUUCCAGGGACUCUGGUCCUUGGAAGGAAAGCUAGGUCGGGCGUUAAACCCCGGUCCGGCACUCGAGGAGGAGCCUGCGUCGCAUCAGCUAGUUGGUGGGGUAACGGCCUACCAAGGCGAAGACGCGUAGCUGGUCUGAGAGGAUGAUCAGCCACACUGGGACUGAGACACGGCCCAGACUCCUACGGGAGGCAGCAGUGGGGAAUAUUGGACAAUGGGCGCAAGCCUGAUCCAGCCACGCCGCGUGAGUGAUGAAGGCCU